UGGAGGGGCCAUUGGAAACUGGGGGACUUGAGUGCAGAAGAGGAGAGUGGANUUCCACGUGUAGCGGUGAAAUGCGUAGAUAUGUGGAGGAACACCAGUGGCGAAGGCGGCUCUUUGGUCUGUAACUGACGCUGAGGCGCGAAAGCGUGGGGAGCGAACAGGAUUAGAUACCCUGGUAGUCCACGCCGUAAACGAUGAGUGCUAGGUGUUGGGGGCUUCCACCCUCAGUGCUGAAGUUAACACAUUAAGCACUCCGCCUGGGGAGUACGACCGCAAGGUUGAAACUCAAAGGAAUUGACGGGGGCCCGCACAAGCAGUGGAGCAUGUGGUUUAAUUCGAAGCAACGCGAAGAACCUUACCAGGUCUUGACAUCCUCUGCCACUCCUAGAGAUAGGACGUUCCCCUUCGGGGGACAGAGUGACAGGUGGUGCAUGGUUGUCGUCAGCUCGUGUCGUGAGAUGUUGGGUUAAGUCCCGCAACGAGCGCAACCCUUGAUCUUAGUUGCCAGCAUUAGGUUGGGCACUCUAAGGUGACUGCCGGUGACAAACCGGAGGAAGGUGGGGACGACGUCAAAUCAUCAUGCCCCUUAUGACCUGGGCUACACACGUGCUACAAUGGACGGUACAAAGGGCAGCGACACCGCGAGGUGAAGCGAAUCCCAUAAAGCCGUUCUCAGUUCGGAUUGUAGGCUGCAACUCGCCUACAUGAAGCCGGAAUUGCUAGUAAUCGCGGAUCAGCAUGCCGCGGUGAAUACGUUCCCGGGCCUUGUACACACCGCCCGUCACACCACGAGAGUUUGUAACACCCGAAGUCGGUGAGGUAACCUUUUGGAGCCAGCCGCCGAAGGUGGGACAAAUGAUUGGNGUGAAGUCGUAACCAAGGUAA
rnacentral:rRNA from 1 species